AGUGAGGGUAGAGGCGCAAAUGUCAUGAGUAAAGAUGCGGAGGAGAAUGAGCUCCAUUGAUGCAUUUUAAAAGGGGGAUUUGCCGAAGCGUACAAAUGCUCAUUCUUUCUACGCUGGGACUGUAUUUAACAAAUACAGGACUGUCAUGCAGCACUGUCUGCAUGGAGGGCUAUCUCACGC
rnacentral:ncRNA from 2 species